CCUACGGGAGGCAGCAGUGGGGAAUAUUGGGCAAUGGGCGCAAGCCUGACCCAGCAACGCCGCGUGAAGGAAGAAGGCUUUCGGGUUGGAAACUUCUUUUCUCAGGGACGAAGCAAGUGACGGUACCUGAGGAAUAAGCCACGGCUAACUACGUGCCAGCAGCCGCGGUAAUACGUAGGUGGCGAGCGUUAUCCGGAUUUACUGGGUGUAAAGGGCGUGUAGGCGGGAAAGCAAGUCAGAUGGGAAAACCAUGGGCUCAACCUGUGGCCUGCAUUUGAAACUGUUUAUCUUGAGUACUGGAGAGGUAGACGGAAUUGCUAGUGUAGCGGUGAAAUGCGUAGAUAUCAGGAGGAACUCCAGUGGCGAAGGCGGUCUGCUGGACAGCAACUGACGCUGAGGCGCGAAAGUGUGGGGAGCAAACAGGAGUAGAUACCCGGGUAGUC
rnacentral:rRNA from 1 species